GGUCGGUGCAGCCUUCUGGAACAGGAAUGCUAACUUGCUGGGCUGCUUUGCCAUAGAAAGAUCCAUUAUUCAUAGCAUCUUCGUUUGCAUCUCCAAGAGCUGCUUCUUUCAAGUAUUUGUCAGCCAAUUGAACUCUCUUCACAUUCUCUUGCUCGCUGACAAGCAUGUUACCAUACUCAAGGAGUUUCUCAAGAGUCAUCUUUGGC
rnacentral:misc_RNA from 1 species